GUCUCCGUGGCGCAAUAGGUUAGCGCGUUCGACUGUUAUGCAGUCUAUCGAGAGGUUGGAAGUUCGAGCCUUCCCGGGGACG
rfam:Aspergillus zonatus CBS 506.65 unplaced genomic scaffold ASPZOscaffold_30, whole genome shotgun sequence.